rnacentral:lncRNA from 1 species
GGCGACCUAGAACUGAAAUGUAUUCCCGCAUUAUACUGGUGGGCGACCUAGAACUUAAAUGUAUUCCCGCAUUAUACUGGUGGGCGACCUAGAACUUAAAUGUAUUCCCGCAUUAUACUGGUGGGUGACCUAGAACUUAAAUGUAUUUGAAAUUGUUUCCCCGUCCUUUCGAGAAAAUUUUGACAAUCGGUAGAAAAUUUUCUGCCCCGGUUUUUGGUGACUUCCUUGGCGUUGCCUCUUGCUGCCAUCAUCAAUCCUUUGUUUUCC